AACGUAGGACACAAGCGUUAUCCGGAGUUACUGGGCGUAAAGGAUGCGUAGGCGGACAUUUAAGUCAGAUGUGAAAUACCCGAGCUUAACUUGGGUGCUGCAUUUGAAACUGGGUGUCUAGAGUGCAGGAGAGGUAAGUGGAAUUCCUAGUGUAGCGGUGAAAUGCGUAGAGAUUAGGAAGAACACCAGUGGCGAAGGCGACUUACUGGACUGUAACUGACGCUGAGGCAUGAAAGCGUGGGGAGCAAACAGG
rnacentral:rRNA from 1 species